rnacentral:rRNA from 1 species
GAUGAACGCUGGCGGCGUGCCUAAUACAUGCAAGUCGAGCGAACGGACGAGAAGCUUGCUUCUCUGAUGUUAGCGGCGGACGGGUGAGUAACACGUGGAUAACCUACCUAUAAGACUGGGAUAACUUCGGGAAACCGGAGCUAAUACCGGAUAAUAUUUUGAACCGCAUGGUUCAAAAGUGAAAGACGGUCUUGCUGUCACUUAUAGAUGGAUCCGCGCUGCAUUAGCUAGUUGGUAAGGUAACGGCUUACCAAGGCAACGAUGCAUAGCCGACCUGAGAGGGUGAUCGGCCACACUGGAACUGAGCCACGGUCCAGACUCCUACGGGAGGCAGCAGUAGGGAAUCUUCCGCAAUGGGCGAAAGCCUGACGGAGCAACGCCGCGUGAGUGAUGAAGGUCUUCGGAUCUUAAAACUCUGUUAUUAGGGAAGAACAUAUGUGUAAGUAACUGUGCACAUCUUGACGGUACCUAAUCAGAAAGCCACGGCUAACUACGUG